rnacentral:lncRNA from 1 species
CAUAUUCAAUUCAAUAUAACUUAUAUCUUAGGCAAAAGUACCAUUUUGCCUCUAUACUUUUAAUUAAUUCCAAUUUCAUCCCUAAGCUCGGAAAAAAAAGAUAUCCAUGCAAUUUAAUCCUUAUUCCAAGCCUAGCCAAAUUUUCCAUAUAACAUUUAUAGCCCAUGUAAUUCAUAAAAUUUAGAACUUUUCUAUGAAUUUUACAUCUUUACAACUU